rnacentral:lncRNA from 1 species
ACAUUUGGGGUGAAACUUUUUUAGCAUGGGGUUCACUUCUUUUUUUUCCUCCUCAUCUUUUCCUCUAUCAACCAAACAAGAGAAAAUUGAUUUUUCCUUCUUUUUUUUCUUCCACUCAUUUCCAUCAAAACCAAACAUAACCUUAGGCUGAGAAUGAGAUUCUUGGACCCCCACCGCUCAACAAAUUCAAGCACUUCAAGUGAUCUCUCAUCACACCUCUCAAAUGCACUCUUCAACAAUUAUAUAAGGCAAGGGAUACUCUAUGUAAAAGUAAGUUCAAACAAGUUGAUGCAUAGUAUUUUGAAUUGCAAUUGAGCAAUCUAAUCAUAGUUAUCUUAUAGAGUUUCUUUCUAACAAGUAGUUCCUCACUUCUUACCAUAUGUUUACAAUAAUUUAUUAACGUUGUAAAGUACCAACCCUAAAUUAUCUAAUAACUGUGGUUUUAAGAAUGUUUGUGUGAAAAAACAACACAAUCUAAAAAGAAACAUAAUUUGUCUAGAGAAAAAGAUCUAGACAUGGAAUGCUCAAUUUAACAUUAACAUCACUAGUAAUUGAUGAAAUUGUGACAAGAAAUAAGAAACAUAAUACACUAUUUCAUUUACUCGGAUAAUUUUUCUCAUCCUUUCAAUUCCACUUUUGACCUUCACUCUUGUGAUUGCCCCACCACUCACAUGUGCCACCAUUGCCUCAGCAAAACAAACCAAAUCAAACUGGUGGGAACUUUAUAAAGCAUGUAGGUGUUAGACUAAUGACAGUAGUGACUGCGUUGAUGCUCAAGUGAGCAAAUGUUUGGGUCAGACGGGGAGAUAACUGAGUAUAUAUUGGUGGUUAGGAAAUGUUCAGUGGUGGGUAUAAGUGACACAAAUGGUCUCAUCUUAUAAUUAGAUUAUUAUGGCCAAUUCUCAUUAUUCAUCUUCUAGUGGUUUCUUUAUUGUCUUAAUUCUCUUUGGAUUUUGAGUAGUGAUGAUCACUCAGUGACACAAUAGAUCAACCAAUAUGAGUGUGGUAUAAAAACCAAAUCUAAAACUGGUUUUUGUGUCAGUUGUCCUUGAUUGAUGAUACUCUGAUAGCAUGUGUCUGUUGCUGGAUAAGAUCUUCACCAGCGCUGGUGUUGUGAGUUCUAUUGGCUUGGUUGGAAGGACAAAUAUGGGAUUGAGAGUUGAAUAAUGGGACACUUAGUUAAGGAAAAUGCUGGUCUCUGUUCCGUUGACGGUGAAGGUAUGUUUGGUUUCUGAUGGUCAUCAUGAUGUCGAUAAGCCACAAACAACACUUAUGUUCUUUUGUAUAGAGGUGGUUGGUCAGUAUUUGAAUCUUUG